UACAGGGGUGGCGAACGUUGUUUUUCAUAGAAAGGUGUAAAAGGUAUGUAGGCGUGAGAUCUGGUAAGUGGUAAAGGUUUAGAUAAUAAAAAUACAUCUUAUUAGGUAACAAAUAAUUUUAGAGAAAUUUAAAGAAUUUUUCGUACAAAGAUAAAAUUUGCAAAGACGAAAAGGAAUGCCGAAUGCGAAAGCAUUAUUUUUUUUAAAAUUGUAGCUAAAAUACGAAAACAUGGGUAGCGAGCGGU
rnacentral:rRNA from 1 species